ACGGCAAUCAUCUAGCGGUAGGAUACGACCCUCCCAAGGUCGUUGCCCGGGUUCGAAUCCCGGUUGCCGUA
rnacentral:tRNA from 1 species